rnacentral:tRNA from 1 species
GCCUGGCUGGCUUAGUUGGUAGAGCAUGAGACUCUUGAUCUCGAGGUUGUGAGUUCCAGCCCCACACUGUGUG